GAUGAACGCUGGCGGCGUGCUUAACACAUGCAAGUCGAACGGGAAACCUUUUAUUGAAGCUUCGGCAGAUUUAGAUUGUUUCUAGUGGCGGACGGGUGAGUAACGCGUGGGUAACCUGCCUUAUACAGGGGGAUAACAGUCAGAAAUGACUGCUAAUACCGCAUAAGCGCACAGAGCUGCAUGGCUCGGUGUGAAAAACUCCGGUGGUAUAAGAUGGACCCGCGUUGGAUUAGCUAGUUGGUGAGGUAACGGCCCACCAAGGCGACGAUCCAUAGCCGGCCUGAGAGGGUGAACGGCCACAUUGGGACUGAGACACGGCCCAGACUCCUACGGGAGGCAGCAGUGGGGAAUAUUGCACAAUGGGGGAAACCCUGAUGCAGCGACGCCGUGUGAAGGAAGAAGUAUCUCGGUAUGUAAACUUCUAUCAGCAGGGAAGAAAAUGACGGUACCUGACUAAGAAGCCCCGGCUAACUACGUGCCAGCAGCCGCGGUAAUACGUAGGGGGCAAGCGUUAUCCGGAUUUACUGGGUGUAAAGGGAGCGUAGACGGAUGGACAAGUCUGAUGUGAAAGGCUGGGGCUCAACCCCGGGACUGCAUUGGAAACUGCCCGUCUUGAGUGCCGGAGAGGUAAGCGGAAUUCCUAGUGUAGCGGUGAAAUGCGUAGAUAUUAGGAGGAACACCAGUGGCGAAGGCGGCUUAC
rnacentral:rRNA from 1 species